rnacentral:lncRNA from 1 species
CAAGAUUCUGAAAGAUGACAGGUGAGGCUUGGGUAUAUAACAGUAGAGCAAAAAAGAGCAAAAACACCAGCGGCAUUUCCCCCCUUUCAUCAGGUUAUACUGAAGCUGAAGGGAACGCAAAGGAUACAGUCACGUUGGCAGUUGUUUGUAGAUGUACAAAGACCUGCAGUGGUAGCUGACACAGUUUUCUAGUAAAGAUAUGGACACAUAGCCUCCGACUUGCUUCCUUUGUUCUGUGCAGUUGACAGUCCUGAGAGAUGGAGGAGCAAGAGGCUGGGAUGCAGAGUGGGCUUAAUUUUUUAUUACAGACACAUACCAGAAUGUUAACAGAAGUUGCUCUGUUCAGCUUCCUUGUGGGUUUUUCUUGACGAAAGAAGAAUAAGGAUGUUAGUUUUAGAUUCUCUCUUCUAUUACUAGUGGAGCUUCUGAAAUGAGACAUGGUGAGUGCGUGCCAGUAAAUGUAUAAAAGCACCUCUGUAUUUAUUCAAUUUACAGUACUUUCCUUAAAAGACAGCGCAGGGCAGCUUAUUGAAGAGUAAAUGAAUUAAAUGUACAGAAGGCAGAGAAGAGUAUUCAGCAAUAUGUAGCAGGGGUGGUAAAGUGUGAAGCUGUCAAGCACUGAUGUUUAGCUUAAGUGUCCCCUUUUUCAUGUUAGGUUUUUUUUGGGGGGGUAGGGUUGCAAUUUUGGCAUUUCAAUAUAAAACAUGAGCAAAGAAAUGUUGAUGUUUUUCUUGCACUGAUCUCCUUUCCUCUAAGGCAGGGGUGGGUAACCAUUUUUGGCCCACUGAGCUAGAUCCUUGUCUCUCCCCACACACCCCAAACACACCCAUGAGCCAGCUUUCACAGGUGGGGUGGACAACCUACUGAUCAACCACCUGACAUCCGAAUGAUGUCAUAUGAUUGACACUUGUCGAAUUCUCUUGCACAGCACUUCCCAAAGGACUGAUGAUCAGUUGUCCUCUUUGAGAAGUGCUUCCCGAGGGUCAGAUUAAACCUGCAGGCUGGAGCUCCCCACCCCUUCUCUAGUUUUCUUCACCUCCCCCAGUUUUACCCCAUAACAACUCUGUGGGGUAGAUUAGGCAGAAAAAUGGUGACUGGCUUAGCAGUGUUUUGAAGCUGCGGUCUCCCUACUUCUAGUUCAACACCCUAAGCAUUUCUUCACUCUCUUUCCAAAAUGAAAUGGGCUUUCUGUGCCACAAACACAGCUAACUUUCUGAAUGCUGAGCAUAAGCUGCAUCUCUCUAUUUAUUACCUGAUCAGAAAAUCUAUGAAAAUGCAGGGGUGGAAGGGAUUAGUGAUGUGGUGUGUCAGUACAGAGAAGCUUGAAGUUUGGCUUUGGGCAUAGGGGAGAAACUUCACAUGUUCCUUUCUGAACAAUAUUUUAUAUUAAUAGGGCAUGCUUCAAAGGGCUUAUUUCUCCUAGAAUUCUUGUGAAACUUGGCAUUCCACUAUCUGUUAAAAAAACUGAUGUAGUCUAUCUAACCUUAUAGUCUUAAAAGCCUCAAAAAUGUAAAGCCUUUUGGUAGAAAAGUUAUUCAUCCUACGGUAAAUAAAUAUUUUUACUCACACUUGGAGCAACUUAGAAGUCUACAGUUGAGGGAUUGAGAACUCUUCCUCCGCCCAAGUACUUUGCCUGACUCCAUUAUUCCUAAUUCCUAAGGAAAGGUGCUGUGUUUGCACAUAAUGCUGUGCCAUAGUUUAAACAAAGCCAGAUUUAUAGAGCCAGUGAUGAACCAUGGCUCCAGAUUAUAACUUUUGGGCAGUAAACAAAACAUAAUUUAGCUGCUAGACAGGGCUCACACAUAAUGGCACAUCAAGGUUUAAUAAAUCAUACUUUAGCAUCAGUGGUGUAGCAUGGGUUGCCAGUGCCCACGGCUGUGCUUGGGUAGGUGGGAGGGAGGAAAACAGACAAUGCACGCAGGAACAUUCAACUGCCUAAUGGUGUCCAUGACACCUAGGAGAUCACAGCCUCAGAGAUAAGAAACGAAGAGCCGUUCCGUUGUCUGGAGAGGUCACUUCCUGGUUUCAUGGAGAAGCCGUUUGCAAUGGAGCCCAGAAAUGGAAGUGUGCAGCUGUAUUGAGGCAGAACCAGGUGUUGAAUUUUUGUCCCCCAACAAUUUUGUGUCCAGGACAACUGCCCCUGUGCCCCCACACCACAUCACUGUUUAGCAUUAUGUGCCAGCCAGGGCAUUGUGUCAUUAAAUUCUCUAUGACAAGUGCUCUGCUACUUGGGUUGUAAUCCUCAGCAUGCAUAUGUUGAAGAUUAACUGGAAAUCUUUGCUAGGUAGAGCAAGUUCACCAAUGCAUGUCUAGCACUUGGUAACUGAACAGCAAGCAAACCACAAGUUUGCUGUGAGUAUAGUAGUGUUAUUUCAAGGUUUCCUCACAGUAAACAGAGGGUUGAUAGGCUACAGGCAUGAAGUGUGUACAUCCAAGAGGACCUCUACCUAUCAAGGUUCUCUGGCACAUAAGGUAAAGGUAAAGGGACCCCUGACCAUUAGGUCCAGUCGUGGCCGACUCUGGGGUUGCGGCGCUCAUCUCGCUUUAUUGGCCGAGGGAACCAGCAUACAGCUUCCGGGUCAUGUGGCCAGCAUGACUAAGCCGCUUCUGGCGAACCAGAGCAGCGCACGGAAACAGUGUUUACCAUCCCGCCGGAACAGUACCUAUUUAUCUACUUGCACUUUGACAUGCUUUCGAACUGCUAGGUUGGCAGGAGCAGGGACCGAGCAACAGGAGCUCACCCCGUCGCUGGGAUUCGAACCGCUGACCUUCUGAUCGGCAAGUCCUAGGCUCUGUGGUUUAACCCACAGUGCCACCAGCGUCCCUCUCUGGCACAUAACCCCCCACAUUUUCCUGGCUGCUCAUUUGCCUAUAAAACAUCUUACUCCUAUUAUGGAUUUCCUUUCAUGGGGUGAAUUAGGUGAUCACUGGUUUAUGGAAUAAUAAAUACUGUAUAAAUCUGUGGUUGUGUCAUUCUACUACCCUAGAUGAGCAGCAUUAAACAUUGGGGCAAUGUUAUUACUGUAUCUGGCUGUGCAUUUGCAAUCUUAAUGGUAACUAGGAUGUCUUCAGUGCAAGUUUUAAGUUAGAUAUGGUUUCCCGGUUUCCCCAGAUACAUGUCUCAGGGUUGUUAUAUUUCUCUUGACCUUCUGCACUAACUAGGAGCAAGGAUCAUGUGCACACCAUCUUUUUCGGAAGGCCUUGGAACAGUUUGUUCUGACAGCUUGGUAGGCAAAGGAGAGGUUGUUUCUCCGAGCACAUUUCUUGAGACCUCAUCAAACGACAAAGUCACAAAGGCUGCACAUCUAGUUAAAGGGUGUAGGUGACCAUUCCAUUCAAAAUCUGCAUGUGACAAGACAGAAAUAACCUCUAGCCUUAAUAGGGCAGCUUAGCACACACUGAAUAGUUGGGUUUGUUUUUCCGAGGUCGUUCGGGGAUGUGGAAAACAUCCCCAUCAGAUGUUGUCACUUUAGAAGCUUUGCCACUGGGUAGAACAACUGCUUUAGCUAUCUGAUCACAGACAAACAGUCCUGCUUAACUUUUAUUUUAUUUUAUAUGUAUAUAUUUAUUUAUUUAUUUUCAUUUAUCCAACUUCCCACCUUCCUAGUGCUCUGUAGGCAUCCUUAAAGGGCUAUUGGAGAGAAGACUUUAAAAGGGUCAGUAAUAUUUUAUGUGUGGUUCUACCAGGGAAGGAGGUGGCACUGUGGUCUAAACCCCUCAGCCUCUCGGGCUUGCCAGUCAGAAGGUCGGCGGUUCGAAUCCCCGCAACGGGGUGAGCUCCCGUUGCUCUGCCCUAGCUCCUGCCAACCUAGCAGUUUGAAAGCACACCAAUGCAAGUAGAUAAAUAGGUACCGCUGUGGCAGGAAAACAAACGGUGUUUCCAUGCGCUCUGGUUUCCGUCACAGUGUACUGUUGUGUCAGAAGCUGUUUAGUCAUGCUGGCCACAUGGCCAGGAAGCUGUCUGUGGACAAACUCUGGUUCCCUCGGCCUGAAAGCAGGAUGAGUGCCACAACCCCAUAGUCGCCUUUGACUGGACUUACCUGUCCAGGGGUCCUUUAACUUUACAAUAUGUGUGGUGUUUGGCAGAAGCAUAAAACAGAAAGUUCUCUUUUUGCCUCCUUAAAACUUGGGUUCCAUCUGUAGUAUACAUUUAAAGUAGCAGUAUACCAUUCCAAGAAGCCAUAGCUUCCCCAGUGGUGUAGCCUGGGGGGAGUGCAGCCGGGGCGAUUGUCCUGGAGCAUUGUGGGAGGUGCUGUUCAUGCUGCCCUCCUGGAACCAGCCCUGGCUGUUAUGUCCUUCUCAUGCAGCCUCCCCAAGCGGCUUUGCAUACAGUGUUUCCAUGGCAGGGCAUGGUGGAUGAACAGAGCCCACCGCUCUGGGCUAUUCCUCACUGCUGAAGCAAGACCAGCCCCAAGAAGAAGUGUAGUUUGCUAACGGACUGAGAGAUUUUGGGAAACCCCUGUUUCCCCCACAAAACUACAGUUCAGUGUAGUACUGUACAGUCAGACCCUGUUCCCAGGGAACUGUUGGAGUUGUAGCUCUGCGAGAGGAAUAUGCAGGGGACAAGAUGGUGGAACCAGGGCCAGUAACCAAAGCAGCUGCUCCACCCAUCACAUGAUGCUAGGUGUGUGAGAGAAGAACAUCCCUUUGAUUGUGAUAUUUGCAUCUGUACUAAAGUCAGGAAGGGAGAAUGGUUCAGAGUGCACCACUGGUGCCAUUCUGCAAGACCAGAUUCACCAAUGCAUAUGUGGUGCAUCUACAAAAACUGCCUGCUGAUGUGAGAUCUAUAGAAGUCCCCCCUGCAUGUAGGCUUAUUUCAAACCCAUAUUAACCUUCCAAGAAUCCAGUUCACGUUCUCCAAUUCUUAAUUUGUUUUUGAUUGUGUUUUAGAUCCUUUUCCCACGUGUGGUGUAAAUAGAUGAUCAUAAUCAAAAUGCAGUUAAAGGAGGCUCUAAAGUAUAACUUUCUUGUGGCACAUGCACAUUAAGAAUAUCUUAUUCCCAUGUCAAGCAACUGGACAUGAGAAUGGCAACUUUAACCAUUAUUGACUUAUUGUCUUAAUUUCUUUUAGUGAAGUGAGCACUGGAGCUGGGAGACUUGGCUGUGAGUUACACUUCCUCCCUUUAUCAAUGGAUUCCAGUCUUACACGGUAAGAGUUCUGGGGUUUGCAUCCCCCCUCAACACUCAUUUCAGAUGAUUCUAUUAAAAGAGGGAAUUCUAUGAUGUGGGUAGUGCUAUAAUGUGUGUGGCUAUGUAUUUUUGCAUGCAUUUUUAAAUCAUAUUAAUGAUUUGAUGCUUUUGUUAACUUAAAGCAAUAUUCUAGGGGUUCUUCUGAGAAAGUGUUUCUCUUGCAAAAUACUAUUGCUGUAUACCUAGAAACACAAAAGACUUACAAAAUGAUGUGUCACUGGCCUGUAGUUUGUUGUGCUCUGCAUUUAGCAAAUGAAGUUGGGGGGUGAAUGACUUAUUUUUGAGUGCUGUAGCCUUGAAUUUAUUUAAUAUAUGGGUUUGGAUUCACUCGGGGCUCUUCUAGACCAUGUGUUUAUUGAGCAUUCAUUUUGAUUUGCUUGCACGAUGCUUAUGCGGAAGUUAGACUGUAGGUUCAUCCAAACGUUCCUUUUGUGCCACACUAUCCAGGCACAGGCCCACACUUUCCCAGUCUUUUUGGUUGGUUUUUGUCCCACUGUUUUCCUCAAGAAAAACCCACUAUUUACUGCCAAAUCAGAAUAAACAGCAAUCUGUAGAAAACCCAAACACUGUUUGUUCCAAUUCAGUGGUUUAUGACAACCAGUGUUCUUCCUGAUGUGCUUAUGUGAUGUUUAUACAUUUUCCCGUUAAUCAUUUGUUCAUCCCACACUCUUUCAUUCUGUUCUGCAAGGCACUUUCCUAACAACAAAAAUACUUUUUGAAGUGGAUUUGUUGCAUUCAGGCAACAAAUCUACUGAUUGUGCAAACCUGAAUUUACAGGAUGCUCUUGAAUCACUUCCACAAAAUACAGUCUGAAGGUGACCUUGGUAAUUUUGUCCUGAUUCAUAUCUUAAAGAAACCUGACAGUUUCCGUCUUCCUUUAUUUCACGUUGUUAAUAUAAAGUAGGUAAUAUUGGUCUCCUGUGUGUAACUAUGCAGUUUGGAUGAAGCAUUUAAAACAGUUAGUUCAAUCGAGGAAGACAAAAACGAGCAACAAUUCUGGCAAAACAAUAAAGACAAGCAAAGAAAUAAAAUAAAAUAAAUCAUGUCUCACCAACCUCUUUGAGAUGUGUGGAUAGAGAAGGUCUAGUGGACAGUAUACAUUUGCAUGUUCAAAAAAACACAUUUUGACAAAACUCCACUAAAGGUUCUGGAGUAAACAUAAAGCUCAUAGGAUUAGAUUUUAUGGAUCCUUCAUAUGAAAAUGAGGCAGAGGGUUAGAAUAAAUGGAUAAUGGUUUGAAAUAAACAGUGGGAUGCUCUAAAUAUGUGUAUCAUGAUUGGUGAAUUUUAUCUUAUUUAUAAAUGGUGUGAAGUUAAAGGUGAGUAGUGUUGUAGCUAUAUCUGUAGAUCACACCAAAUUACUCAGGUGUGUUGUGAACAACACCAAAAGGACUUCUAAAUGGGCAUGAAAAUGCCCAAUAAAGCUCAGCAUUAAAUGUAAGGUGAUUUAUGUUGGUACAAACAGAUAUAUGCUGGCUAUGGGCUUAUGGUGAAUAGCUCAAUGUAAGUGUCAAUCGCAGUGGGGGGAAAUGCAAAUUCCAUGCUAGGAAUUAUUAGAAAGAGAAUUGAUAUGAUAACAAUCAGUACUGUAAUGAUUUAAUUUAAAUCUGUGAUGUUUGGAUUGCUAUACACAGUAUAGUCUCUGCACCUGGAAGUGACUUCAUGGAAAUGGCACAAUACAGGAAAAGAUAAACUCAAAUGACCCCAUGGGCUUGUAACAUUUCCUGAUGGAUUAAGAAAAAAGUGUUUGGAUGUGCAAUCACCUUAUCAAAUGUACUGCUACAGGAUGUUAUGAGAGCCACUGUCUUAAAUAGGAUUACACCAGUUUGGAAGAAGAAGAUCUAUCCAAGUGUAUUAGCCAUGAUAAUUAAAAUUGACAUGUUUAAUUAGAGAAAUAUCAUUGUUAACAUUUACCGGUACUAAAGAUUGGAAACUUCUCAUAGACUUUUUGCAUGAAAAUGAAACAAUGACAUGUGAAUUUGGGGGUUGAAGAUAAUGUUGGUUUAUAGAAAGAGUUUUUGUUAGGUGUUAUUUUGGAGUGGAUGAAGUGAAUAUUGUUUAUAUAUAGUGGACAAAUGAAAAGAAUUGGAACUUCUUUAAUUUUUGUAAUUUAUCCUUUCUAUUUUCUCUGUUACGUUCUUUUCUAUCUCUUAUAAUCACUUUCUCACACUUUUUUUCUUUUUUCUCCUCCUUUCCUUUUUCUUUUCCUCCGUGUAUUUUAUUUUAUUUAGAUUAAUGUUGGCUUAAAAAAUAAUAAUCUGAUAUUAAGUUUUGUAUCUCUCUUUAUAAACUCUACUAAAAUUUAUUCAAAAAUUAUACAAUUAAAUGGCUCCUCCCAAGUUCAAAGUCACUGUACCUUUAAAUAUAAAUUGCUGGGAGCUCAGUUGCCUUCAUUCUUUGCUUUUAGGCUCCCCUGGUUAGCUGCUGCUGGAAAUGAGAUACUAGACUAGAUGGUGUCUUAUUCAGUCUUUCAGAGCUUUGUUUGUCUUCAGUUCUUUACAUUUAGGAAAAGGUCUCUCACCCAUAAGACACUUCAUUACUCUACAUUGCUGGAAAUAGUUUUUCAGAUGGUGUGGAGCUACAUUUGGAUCAUGUUUUGACAGAUUUGUUUAUUAUUAUUACUGCAUCGUCUGCUUUUACAUAGGCAAUAUUCUGUUCCCAAACAUUCUGAAUCAUUACUCAUGGUGAGAGGUUUUGGGGUGUUUGGGGCUUUUAGUGUCCAUUAGAAAAGGCUGAUCAAUAAGAGGCUGCUCAUGUCUUGUUCAUGAAUUGCAGUCUAAAUGAAUGCCAUGGAGGAGAAGCACUCUCCGUCCUGGCUGGAGUACUGCUGAGUGAGCAGGCUCUUUCAAGUGGAAGUGCGUACAUUUGAGAAAUGGGCUUGGCAAAGGCUCCUGUCUUCCUCGGUGGAGGAGGCGGCCUCUAGCUGAAUCAGCCUCCACUCUGCACAUUGCAUGACAUAUGCUACGACUUUGGUUCAUUAAUAAGAAAGGAGAGUGAAUCAGACUCCGUUCUGAAUGGAAACGCCACCAGCAAACAUGCGGUAGAUGGGUUGGGCUGGAAAGGGGCUUGUUCUCUCAGUUUUAUAACUAUGCUGUCUUUCUGGACUGGGUGCUUGUCUUUCAGCCAUGUUGCAACGCAGCCUCCAUUUUAAGACCAGAGGAAAACUGCCUGUCUGUUGGCAUCUGUUAGAGUCUUCCACCUCUGCUGUUCUUCCUCAUUUAGUGAGAAGACGACGAGUUUCUGUGCUUUCCGGGGAAACCGCACCUUUCCAAACAAGAUAAAUGUUCAAUGGUUCCUUGCAUUCCUUUCAUUUUCCUCUGCUGAGAAAUCCGUGUCAAGUGUUAAUUUCCUUUCUCCUUGUGGAAAGCAUGGCCAGUCAAUCCAUCUGAAGUCACUAUGGCAUAAAGGGACUCCACUGGUCCUAGACCUGAGGUCAAACUCCCUCCCCUCCCUCUAAGAUUGAUUAUGCCAAUAGAAAAUGGCCUAAAACCAUCCUCUCUGUGCUUUAGAGAUAGCGAAUGAGACUCAUAAGCUAUGGAUAGUGAUUUUGUUUUCCCUUUCUCUAUUUCCCAUUAGGGACUAUACUCUUCUAUGUAACAAGAGGAGCACUUCUGGGUCAUGGGUUUUGUUUUGUUCUUUCAUUCCUGCUGUUGUACAAUAAACUUGAAAAGUCCUCCCUCCACACACAAAUGGAGAAUUAAGCUUGUGUGCUUUUUCUCAAACUAUUAUUUUCUAAAGUAGUAGCAUAAUUAUCUGGUUCUCUACUAGUCAUCAGAGCAAUCAGCUAGUUAUGCAAGGUUUUACUCCCCCCCCCCUUUUUUAUGUUCUAAAUCAAAUUUUUAUCAAAGGUCUUCAACCUAAAAUACAAUAACACUUAAACUAAUUGCCAUGUUUUAUUUUUAAUUCAAACCUUCUGCCCACCAUGUUUGCUUUAUUUCAACUGAAAAUGUGUCAUGGUGUGUAUGUGUUUCGUUGUCAAGAAAGCAGGUACUUCUUAAAGGUUUUAUGUUUUAUUUUAUUUUUUUCCUUUAAGCCCUUAUCUAGCAUUUAUGUGUGAAAGCAACACAAACCAUAAGGGGAGAGAGGAGCUUGAAAAGACCCUAUGCAUGAAAAAAAAAUGCUUAAUAUUUAUUUAUUUAUUUAUUUAUUUAUUUAUUUAUUUAUUUCCCACCCAUCUGACUAGGUUCUCCUAGCCACUCUGGGGGGCUUCCAACAAAUUAAAACACAGUAAGACAUCAAACAUUAAAAAACUUCCCUAUACAGGACUACCUUCAGAUGUCUUCUAAAAGUUAAGUAGUUGUUUAUUGAAAGUAAAAGUAAACUAAUCUCAGGGUUAUGGGUUUGAGUCCCCAAUGGGUGAAAGAUUCUUGCCUUGCAGGGGGUUGGAUUAGAUUACCCUUGUGGACCCUUCCAGCUCUGCAGUUCUAUGAUUCUAUUCUAUGAAAGUAAAUGACAUGACUACUGAGAGAAUGUGUUUGAUGAGAAAGCUGUCUGUGGACAAACGCUGGCUCCCUCAGCCUGAAAAGUGAGAUGAGCGCCGCACACCCCAGCUUGACUGGACUUAACUGUCCAGGGGUCCUUUGCCUUUACCUUGCCUUUGGUCCUAGGGUGGGUUAAAAAUAAUGCCACACGAAACGAAAUGACGAAAGCAGCCAAACCCUUCUGAGAUAAUGGAGAAUUAGGUUUGGCCUAGAUUUAAAACUUGAUUGCAAGAUGCUGGUAUCUACUGAUGACACUGACAGAACUUCUCAAAGUCACAGCAAAUGGCAACGCUUCCAAGUGCCCAAGCCUUGAUUAGCUGGGAACCCUUUUGAUUUGAAUAUAUUGUAACUCUGCCAUGUAGCUCUUUGUAAAAGCUGUAACCUUUUGCAACAAAGACAGUUUGCGUAAUCAGAAGCAACCAUUUAUCAGGCAAUUGUAUAUGCCCUAAAUUUGAUAAAAUAUGAUAAAUUCUAUUAAUUUAGUAAUCAAAUCCACGUUGAGUGACUCAAAGGAGCUUCUCGAAUACAAAGGGCACUGCAAAUGUCCAUUUUGACUCUGCAGUGCAGAAGGCUAUUAUCCAAAAGUAAUUGGCAUUGCUUUGUCAUUUCUUGCAUUUAAAUUUCAAAUGAGAUAGUACCCUUUCCUCUGGAAAAGUGUGUUUUACAUCUAUUAUGCAGCUACAUGAAGAGUUUCAUUUUAAUGAUCCCUCUGUAGUUCUUUUUACAUUAGAUACAAAUGCAACUUUGUGAUUCUGUCAUCUCUCCUUUUGAGAACUUCCUCAGAGCACUUCAAUUUGCUGUCACAAAUAGUGACACAUUUUAGAUUGUGGGACUUACUGAAAUAAUGAAGUCUGCCUUUGACUUUCCUUCAUGCUUCACUCGCAACAAAGUACACUGUACAUAUGCCAUGCUUUUGUCAUCUUGCUGACGUCUUUAUGCCCCCCCCCUUCUUUACCAGAAUUACAGCAGUCUCUCUGAAAAUGGUCUGUCUUCAUCAAGUACUCAUCACAGUAAAUUGUGCAACUGCUGAGUUACUCUCAGAGAAUAAGCGAAAUGAGAAAAGAAUGGACAUGGCACAAAAGUAGUUUGCCCACAAAAAUGGGGAGGGAGGAGGAGGACUAUAAUUCACAUGACAACAGCUGAUGUCAGUCCCUGCGCUGCUGCUGCUGCUAUUGUUGUUGCUCCUGCUUCUGCUGUUGUUAGUAAAAUUUAAGGUAACAUUUUUGGGAGCAGGUGGCGCUGUGGUCUAAACCUCUGAGCAUCUUGUGCUUGCUGAUCAGAAGGUCGGCGGUUUGAAUCCCCUUGACGGGGCUGAGCUCCCAUUGCUCUGUCCAAGUUCCUGCCAACCUAGCAGUUGGAAAGCAUGCCAGUGCAAGUAGAUAAAUAGGUACCACUGUAGUGGGAAGGUAAACGGUGUUUCCGUGCACUCUGGCUUCUGUCAUGGUGUUCCAUUGCAUCGGAAGUGGUUUAGUCACGCUGGCCACAUGACCCGGAAAGCUGUCUGUGGACAAACGUCGGCUCCCUUGGCCUGAAAGCGAGAUGAGCACUGCACCCCAUAGUCGCCUUUGAAAGGACAAACUGUCCAGGGUUCCUUUACCUUUACCUUACCUUUAAUAAAACUUGUAUACCAUCCUAUACCCAUAGGUCUCAGGGUGGUUCGCAACACAAUGUUACAGUAUACAAAGCACAAAAUACAUAAUAAAAAUAAUCAAAGCACAGAGUAGCUAGAAACAUUCCUCCCAUGAUGUUGCUCAGAUUCAUACCCACUUAACUUCCUUUAGCCCCUACCCUACACCAGAGAUAGCCAAUGCAGCACCCUCUAGAUGCUGCCGAACCACAACUCCCAUCGCCAUCAGCUGGUGUCAGGGGCUGGACUGAGGAGGAAUGGUGAGGACUGCGCCCCCUUCUCCUGAACCUUCCCAAAAUCAGGAGGACAGUAUAGAUUUAGAACAGUGGUUUGCAGAAGGACAUAGUUCAGAGGCUGCAGAGGGGAGAAGUUGGGACGUAUCAGAAGAGGAAAAGCAGGAAGAAGAAGAAGCACCAGGGGAGAGACAGCUGGCAGACUCAGUGUCCUUGGAAAGCAUUCCUGACACACACCCCUCUCCCAGAACCAGGCGGGCAUUGAAGGUAGUAGAACAGAGAGCUCAGAGGCAGAAAGCUCAGAUUAGCUGAUGCAGGGGUGACAUAGAAUGGAGAGAAGGAGGAGGGUGGGACUUUACUUGGAGCAGCGCCGUUCUUUAGGAAAGACUGCAUUCCUUCGUCGCUCUCUGUGAAUUAUUGAAUAAAUUACAUCGUAAGAACUUUUAUCAUUUCUUUGCUUCUUGGCUGCCACCAUGGGAGGGAUCGGAGUCCCCAAAGCCUGACAGUUGCACUUGAUGGGAGCUCAAUAGCCCCUCCGGGAUUUCAGGCAGGGAUCUCUCCCAGCCCUAACUGGAGAUGCCAGGGAUUUAAAGUGGGACUUUUUGCCUGCAAACCAAGGGCUUUACUACUGAGCAAUGGCCAAAAGCUGCCUUCAGUUGCAUGGAAGAAGCAAUUAGAUUUCCCUAUCUUCAUUGGAGAAAUAUUGAAGGAUAUGCAAUUGUCGUGUGUGAGUGUGGUGGAUGCAGUCUUUGGGGAAAGAACACUUAAACUAUAUUAUAUUAAUUAAUGGACCAGUUUCAUCUAAACUGAAUCUUUUUGCCUGCUCAGCCAUAGCUACUGUUUUAAUUUCAAAGCUCAGUCUCACAGCUGGAAGGGCUACUUACUCCAUAACUCCAUACUUACUUUUUUAUUGCUCAUGGUGUCUUUCCUUUGCUUAUAUCCCAGCAUCAUCUUAACUAUAUUUCAGUACACCUCAGCUUUGUUCAAAGACUUAAUUAUAGGAACUAAUUUCACUGAGAGGGGAUUUAUUGUGCAGGAAUAAAAUAUGAUGAAAUAUUUAUCAUUGCUGCAGUCAGCAAAAUAUACAGAUAGAUAACUGUUAGGGGAACUGUGCCCAGUGUACAAUGACAAGAGUUUCUGGAUCACUAAAUACACUGUUCAAGUACAAUAGUAAUAUGAUGCUAAACUCUUCCGUCAAAGAUUUAUGGGGAUAGAAACAAAGCUCUACACCUGCCUUCCCCAAACUGGUGCCCUCCAUGUGGGUUUUUUAUUAUUAUUAUUAUUGAACUACAGUUCCCAUCAGCCCCAGUCAGCAUAGCCAAUGGGCAGGGAUGGUGUGGGUUGGAGUCCACCACCACCAGGAUGGCACCAGGCUAGGAAAGACUGCACUACAUGUUGGUUACAAUUUUUUAAGACAUUGGGAUUUCUCCAAUUUUAAUGAGGUGGUAUUUUGAAAACACUCCAUAAUACUUCACCUGCUGAGCUUUGGGGAAUUUGCAUCAAAAAGAAAAGGGGAUUGGGGGUUUUUAGGGCACUCUUUGAUGAUAUUUUACAACAAAAUAAGGACAAUAUUCCAUUUCCGGGAUGUGGCUGCAUUCUCCUUGGAAACAUAGGUAAAAGGUAAAGGUAAAGGACCCCUGGAUGGUUAAGUCCAGUCAAAGGUGACUAUGGGAUUGCGGCACUUGUCUCACUUUCAGACCAAGGGAACCAGCGUUUGCCCACAGACAGUUUUCUGGGUCAUGUGGCCAGCAUGACUAAACCACUUCCGGUGUAACAGGACACCAUGACAGAAACCAGAGCGCACAGAAAUGCCACUUACCUUCCCGCUGCAGCAGUACCUAUUUAUCUACUUGCAUGGGUGUGCUUGCAAACUGCUAGGUUGGCAGAAGCUGGGACAGGGCAACAGGAGCUCAGCCCGCUGUGCGGAUUCGAACCGCUGACCUUCUGAUCGGCAAGCCCAAGAGGCUCAGUGGUUUAGACCACAGCGCCACCCACAUCCCAGCCUUGGAUACAUAAAGCUGAAAGAGAAAGGUGGAAGAGCAGCAAUCUUUCCCACUUCUUCUUUUUGAGUGAUGGCCAACUCAGUUUUGUUCAGAGUAAACCCACUGAAAUUAAGACCCAUUCAUUUCAGCUGGCCAACCCUGAGUAAAACUCGAUUGAAUAGCACUCCUCUGUGCGUUUUUCAAGGUUCAUAUUAAUUAUAGCAGAACUGGCUCUUACCCCCAAUCACUUUGAAAAGUGAAUUGUGUGCACAUGCUUACUCUUCCUUUGUCAUGGGGUGGGAGUGAUCUAGUAGGGGAGAGAGAGCAUGACUGGAGGAGAUUGUGCUCACAGCUCUCUCUCUGAAAUCCAAAAGUGCUCAUGGAACUGAAAACGUUGCUGGCCCCUGAUGUGGAGGGUCACUGGUACCAGGGCCGGAUUAAGGUUCAAUGAGACCCUAAGCUACUGAAGGUAAUGUCCAGCUGUCCUUUGUCAACAACAAAUUGUCACUGUUUUCAUUUGCACAUAACAAAAUAUGUAUUUUAUCAAAGUAAUGGUUGAACUGAAAUACAAUUAAGAAGAAGUACAUUAAUAGUGAAAAACAAUUAAGAAGAAGUUUAUUUUGGGGGGUCCCCAAGAGAGUGGGGCCCUAAGCUAUAGCUUGUUUAGCUUAUAAAUAAAUCUGGCACUGACUGGUACCCUAUCCCUCCUGUAAUUUACUUUCCACAUCAGCAUCAACUGCAGCUCAAAGGUAACAUAAGAAUGAGCCCUUAAAAGGGACAAAAAGGAGGCUUGCAUGUACUAGCAGUAAUCUGUCCAUGAAUGUUAAAAAGGAAUCUCAUGACAGACACAACAAUGAAAGGCCGAUGGUCUUUGAUGACUCUCUUCGAAUUUUGAUAGAACUGUUCUGUGGUGCAGCUAUCCCUAAUUAAAAAUCAGCACUCAAAACACUUCGUAUCAGAAAGGUUACUGUUUAGGAUAAUCCAGAAACUGCUAAUAAUUCAAUAAAAGCUUUUCUGUAAGGGAACUAAAACUCCAGGAGAUAGGAUCUUUAAUUAUCGUCUCCUCUGAAAUACCCUCUUCAAGUUCUCAUUCUUUAGAUAUCAGUAUUUAUGAAUCAAAUGAUUCUUUUGGUUUUAUCACAGGAAGAGAAAACCUAUCUAUUACCCUCUGUGGUGACCCAGAGCUUUGUUGGGUAAAAAUUGAACCCCUCUGCCUCAGCAUGAGGGAAAAGUCUUAGUUAAUGUUUUAUUCUAAUCUUCAUGAUGUUCUUUCCGAGUUUUGCUUACUGUGGUCUGUAUUAUCUGCUCUGCCUGUUGCUUUCUCUCCUCCACUUUUUAAAGCCCAGAUAAGUUUGAAUUUUGGGGGGUUGUGGGGGAUAAAGCAAAGUGUUGUGCAUGGCAUAAAUCAAGACCAGCUGACUAAUGGGGAACCCCAUCUAAUGCAUCUUUACUCAUACGUAUGCCCUGCUGUGUGUCAUAGUACUGACUCCCUCAUAAGUGUGUUUAGGAUGGCAGCCCGAGUUUCUCACAGAUGAGUUUCUUUGCCUUAUAUAGUAAUUUAUUUAUUUAGGACAUUUAUAUACUGCUCUUCAUAAUAUUUAUCCCAGGGAAGUUUACAAUACAAUAUGAACCAAAAUAAUAGUAAUAUGUGCAAUAGACCAAUUAAAGAAAAUAAGCAAUUAAAUAAUGCACAAAAUAGCAAAGCAAAACUUACAGUAUGAGACCACAAGAUGCACCCCCAAAAUAUUAACCUGCAAAUGAACCAGAUAAUUUGUGACCAACUUGCUAGCUAGAUUUGGAGGGCUUUCCCCUUGCUCUUUAGAAAGAAACAGAGCAAGCAAGCAAUUUUAUAUUCGAUUUAAUGUGUUCCGAGCUAUCUGCAUCAGCAACAUGGCUGAAUCUCACCUGAAGUCAACAACUCAUUUCUUUCAUUAUUCUUCCUAUCAAAAGUUGCCCUGCCUUAUUUGUCCAUUGUUUCCCCCUUCACAACCUGGACCUCCACACUAACUUCUUUCCACUCCAUAAUUUGAUUUCAUCCCCAUUUUUUCCUCCUUCCCCUCCCUCAAGUCUUUAACACUGAAGUGAGGCUGAGCAACAGUGAGGGCUACUGGUUGAAGCAUCAAGAGCAGCCUAGGCACUUGCCUUGGUUGGUUGUGAUGCCUAUGAGGAGUGAGUGAGUAGCUGCUCAAGCUAGCUUCAGCCUGACCCUGCUAAUGUUAGCAGAUAUUGAGAAUGCACCUUGAGCUAAGACAUCCCUGCACCAUCUCCACCCAGUGGUAUGCACAUAGAACGGGAGAUUUUGCUGCACAUCAAACCAUGCUGACAUGUACAAUGGCAUGCUGCCCUUUCAGCCAGUAAUGUGUGCUUGGCUUUUAAUGUGACUGGAAAGCUGUUUGGCAUCACUCAUUGCCGGAACAGGGAAAUGUGUGUGCUUUGUGGCAAGUUUGAACUAUUUGCGGCUCCCAUUCAUCUGUUCAAUUAAGCACAUAAUCCUUGUGGAAAUGCUGUGCCAGUGGAAGUUUUCAGGAACAAAACACAAAGUCUGAUGCUGUUACAUUUUUAAUCUAUUUGGGUUGCUGUGUUUGGUCUGGGAUAGAGUGAUGCACAAUCUUUGAACUUGCCGGAAUGCAGAUGCAACAGAGGUCCUAGCAACUGCGUUCAUAAUUGGCUUCCCACAAGUUUUUAUUUUAUUUUAUUUUUUUUAUUCUAAACCAUGACAUUUCUAAUUAGACGCAGGUGGAACAAAGAGUAAAAGCUUUCCAAAUUAAUCACAGCAUUAUGAUUUUGAGUGAUCUAGCUAUUAAGGAAGAAAAAUAACACUUAACAUUUACCCUUUUAAAGUGGUUGUGUUCUCCCUCCUCCCUUCUUGGACAACAAAUUUAGACAAUAAGCAGAGAAUCAGCCUACCAAGUAUACCUCCUCCUUAUCUCUUUACCAUUUAGAACAGAAAUUUAAACAAUGGAGAACUGCUCUGCUCUUUUACUAUAAUUUGCUGCCACUCAUUCUAUGAAUUACAUUGUUACGAAUCCAUUCUUACAUUGUGUGAACAAGUUUGCCUCUUGUUUUCUUUCAUGCGUUUCGAAAAUUAACUCGACUGCACACACAAAAAGCCUCAGCUUCUAGGUGGAUGGACAUGUUUGCUUGACGUAUUUCUUUUCCCCUUGGGCGAUCCACACCAUACAUUUAAAGCACAUCCAUGGCACAUUUAAAGGAAUCCUGGAAACUGUAGUUAGUAAAGUGUGAGAGGCAAAUGGGAGCAUUUCCAUUAGCAUACAAGAUUAUGAUACAAAAAAGUAUCCCUGCGCAGUAGCAAAAGUGUGCUGUUGGAAAUAUCCACCUUUGAAUUUGCUUUUCAGUAUGUGGUAGAGUAUGACACAUCACUCUGACAUGCUGUUGUUUUUCCCCUUAUACAUGUGCUUGGGACUUCCUAUGUUCAAGAUUAAAAUGUGUAUCAAUCGCUCAGUUUUAGCCUGGUCUCCCAAAAGGAAUGAUCACUCCAAUGCUUAAGAAAGGUUGCUUGAUAUUUCAACAUACCAGUGCUAUUUUUCUAGGAAAAGAGGUGCCGGAACUCACCAUGAACACUUGUUUUCUUAUAAUGGCAAUAGCACCAACCUGAGAGGUGCUGGUACUGAGUUCUGGCAAGUUCCAGCUGAAAAAAAUACUGCAAAGAUGGCCUGCAAAUAACAAAACCUUAUGCUUACUACUGGUGGGAUAAUUUGUAAUGGUGAGAGAAGAUUCAAGACUACAAAGCAAUUUGAGAACUGUUGGUAGAUUAACAUAAAAUAACAUAAAAUAAGCUGUCAGUAGCCAGGGAUCUCAUUUAAAAUGCAACAACAACAACAACAAAAAUAAAAACAACAACAAAACAACAGCAACAACAACAAACAAUUUUAUUUAUUUCCCCACUCUGGGUGGCUUCCAACACAUGUAAAAAUAUCAUAAAACAUCAGACACUAAAAACCUCCUGAUACAGGGCUGCCACCCUUCAGAUGUUUUCUCAAAGUUGUAUAGUUAUUUCUCUCAUGGACAUCUGAUGGGAGGGAAUUCCACAGAGAGGGAAAUUUGAGGUGAAAACAUUCUAAUUUUAUUUAACUGAAAACAAACCAGAAUAUGACAUCGUUUAUUGCUUCCAGAUGAGCCAGCAGUAUUGUUUGCUGAGGGUACCCACUGAAAUCAAUAGACUUGAGUCACUGAUUUCAGAGGUUAUACUCAGAGGAUAACUUAGUCGGACAUCACCGAUUGUUAUUUAUAACGUAUUUUACAUUCCACAUGGAAAGGUGAUGCACUCACAUACAUCUGAAGGCAGAUAACCUAAGUGGACACCAAAUAACCUAGAAGCAGACAGUAUCUGGAGAUGACAAUUCAGUGAAUGUAACAGCUUUCCAGACGAGGGUAUUCUUACUCAACCCAGGUUUCAGGUAUUAUAGCUCUAGAACAUAUAUAUCUCUGGUUAUUAUUCAGCACAAUAAAACACAUGCAAUGAAUCCGUUUAAUAUCCACUGCAUCUCUUUCACUUUAAUUUUGAAUUUUGGCCAUUUGAACAUCGGGGUGCUCCUCUAGUUCGGGAGAGGAUGACGUUUUUAAAAAGCUUUAGCUAGGACUGUGAAGGUAAUCUGUGACAUUUUAUAACUAUGCACAUAGCAGUAAUACAUUCACUUAAAUUUGGUAUAGGCAAUAUUGAUUUUUCAAGAGUGUACUUUCUCCAUACCGCGAGUCGGUUUCAUGUGGGAGUAGAGCUGAAUGCAGAAUUUUUUUGCCCGCAAUGCUAGGUUAGCCUUUGUCAACAAUAAGCCCUUUUAGAUACAAAAUAAACAUGAAAAGCAGCCUUCAAUUGGUGGAGUGGUUUUUCCUCUAAUUGGCUUUCCUGUAGUUAAUAGGUAUAUGACAAAAGCAUUCAGAUUAAUACGGCCCACCAGCUUUAUUUAUGCAAGCUCAUGUGUUUCCCCAGCAGAAUACAUUUUUUACGGAAUAUCUGGGGAAUUAUUUAAUAGUCAACUGUUAUUGCAUGCCUAAAGAUAUUUCUGAAAUAGAACCGAAAUUACCUCUACCUAUUGUAUGGUUCCAAAUUAUGUGUAAUAAGUGCCAGCAUGCCAGCAAUUUUCAUGGGGUUAUAAUUAUUUUAAUGUAAAAUUGGAACAAGUUGAAAGCAGAGGCUGUAAGGAGAGAGUGCACCUUGUAACUUGACGUACUUCCAUUUCAAUAGGGCCUAACACUUAACGAAAGCAAAGGUGCAAAAAUGGUGGCAUGGGACUAGGUCCACAGAAGGGAAGAUAUCCAUAAAACAGCCUUCCCCAGCCUGGUGUCUUCCACAUACUUUGAAUUACAAUUCACUUAAUCCUGCAUGGUUGGCAUAAUAAUAAUAAUAAUAAUAAUAAUAAUAAUAAUAAUAAUAAUUUUUAUUUAUAUCCCGCCCUCCCCAGCCGAAGCCGGGCUCACGGCGGCUAACAACAAUAAAAUAAUGCAAUAUUCUAAAAUCAUUUCAUUAAAAUUAAUUCAACUCAAAUUGAUGGCAACCAUUAGGCUAAAGUUCUGUGAAGAUUGCCAAAGGAGGGAGUCAGUCUGUGCUCUGGCCAAAGGCCUGGUGGAACAGCUCUGUCUUGCAGGCCCUGCGGAAAGAUGUCAAGUCCCGCAGGGCCCUAGUCUCUUGUGACAGAGCUUUCCACCAGAUUGGAGCCACAGCCGAAAAAGCCCUGGCUCUAGUUGAGGUCAGCCUAACCUUUCUGUGGCCUGGGACCACAUGGACUUGAGGUCGAAUCAGUGGCAUCAUGUGGGGAGGGCCAGAGGGGCGGUGACCCCGAGUGCAUUGGGGGGAGCAUUUUGCUGCACCCCUUCCCACCCAUGACCCUUGGCAGGCACAACAGGCAGGCACCCAAAGAGGGCAGUUAUGCUGCCCUGCUAGUCUUAUGCUACUUCGCGAUGAUGCAGGGCGGCGUGAGAAGGAUGCAACAGACAUGAGUCCUGAACAGAAAGGGCAUUGUAUUAAUCCUCAUCAUCAUCAUGUAAUUAAUUAACAACGUGAGUUAUCUUUUAUAUUCCAAAGUAACUGGACUGAGAAAACAACAAGCCAGAGUGAAUACUUAUGUUGUUGUUGUUUAGUUGUUUAGUCGUGUCCAACUCUUCGUGACCCCAUGGACCAGAGCACGCCAGGCACUCCUGUCUUCCACUGCCUCCCGCAGUUUGGUCAAACUCAUGCUGGUAGCUUCAAGAACACUGUCCAACCAUCUCGUCCUCUGCUGUCCCCUUCUCCUUGUGCCCUCCAUCUUUCCCAACAUCAGGGUCUUUUCCAGGGAGUCUUCUCUUCUCAUGAGGUGGCCAAAGUAUUGGAGCCUCAGCUUCAGGAUCUGUCCUUCCAGUGAACACUCAGGGCUGAUUUCCUUCAGAAUGGAUAGGUUUGAUCUUCUUGCAGUCCAUGGGACUCUCAAGAGUCUCCUCCAGCACCAUAAUUCAAAAGCAUCAAUUCUUCAGCGAACAGCCUUCUUCGUCCAGCUCUCACUUCCAUACAUCACUACUGGGAAAACCAUAGCUUUAACUAUACGGACCUUUGUUGGCAAGGUGAUGUCUCUGCUUUUUAAGACACUGUCUAGGUUUGUCAUUGCUUAUACAUUGGCCAAAAAAAGGGGGGAAGGACAUUGGUAUCCUCCAGUUAGCGUGCCUGAGAACAUGUGGAUUGCGCAAAAUAACUGUUGCUUUUCAAGAAGGCGAGAAAGCUUUACUCAUUUUAUGCAAAGCACCCUGACAUCCUAAUACAUUGUUGACAGCAGGUACUUGAUGUACAAUUGAGAACAUUCUAAAAUAGUGGUUGGUAACAAAAAUAUUUAAUGUGGGUUAAGAUUGUUUCCAGAAAUUGUGUACCUUCGCUUUGUGGUGUUGCCAUGGUGAAACACGCCACAUAAUUGCCAUAUUAUUCAUUUCCUGGUUAAGUUUGAAUGUGCUGUAUUCUUUGUAAUCUUUGUUUUGCUGAAAGCAAAACAUUAGGCUUCAUAUUGUUCCUGUGACUUUUAACUUUAGUCAAUAGAACAGAGCUAAUUUUAAGGAUUAAUUUACCACACAUACAAGUAUCUUUGAGUUCUGUCAGAACAAAAUUGCCUCCGUUCACACAUUAUGAAGUGUAGGAAUGAGCGAUGUCUGGUUUUCCACAUCUUGAUAUAUCACCAGCUAAACAAUAUACCAAUAUAUCACAAUCUCUGAAACUGAGGAUGGAAUUAUAGAGGAAUUCAAAUCUGCUAUUAGUGAGUUACUUCUUAACUCUGUCUUUGAUAGGAAAACUGUUGACUCGCAGCACAUUGGUGUCAGCAAGUAGUUUCUAUUGUCCGUUGCCCCGGUAAUAUAUUUGCAUAUCAUCAUUGUUCAUAGGUUCUUAUGUGGCUCUUUUAUUGAUUGACUCUGUGCCAGUAUGCAUUUCCAUAGUUUCCUUUGUUACCAUGUCAGCAUAAUGGAAACAGGAAUCAACAAAUCAAUGUGAAAUUGUCAUUGAUAAUAGCUUAUCACUACUAUCGGUAAUGAGAUGCUGCGAAAUGAAGGAAAAAGGAAACCCCAGCUGUGUGUUUCUUCCACACAAGAAUCUUCCUAAGAUCCCUUCUGUCUAGCUGAAAUGCCAGAUAGAAACCUGGCCCAUACGGAAAAGUGCUCCUCAGGGGUAUAAGUCUGCUUGGGAGAAAGACACUUAGGGAGACUGACCUUUGGAGAAAAGGAAAUUGAUAGGAGUUGGCUGAGGUUAGGAUGUGGUUCCAGCGGCUCCAACUCCAGUGCUGGCUAUCAGAUCUUCUGCCUAUGCUAAACCUGAUCCAGUCAAGUCCAGUCAAAGGCGACUUUGGGGUUGCUGUGCUCAUCUUGCUUUCAGUCCAAGGAAGCCGGCGUUUGUUGACAGACAGCUUUCUGGGUCAUGUGGCCAGCAUGACUAAACCGCUUCUGGCACAAUGGGACACCGUUAUGGAAACCAGAGCGCAGGGAAAUGCUGUUUACCUUCCCAACGCAGUGGUACCUAUUUAUCUACUUGCACUGGUGUGCUUUCUAACUGCUAGGUUGGCAGGAGCUGGGACAGAGCAACAGGAGCUCACCCCAUUGCACGGAUUCAAACUGCUGAUUUUCUGAUCGGCAAGUCCAAGAGGCUCAGUGGUUUAGACCACAGCACCACCUGAGUCCUUAAACCUAAUCAUGGACUGCUCUGACUUUACUUCUCACCUGACCCUCCUUUUUUCGACUGUGACCAUGGAUCAGUCAUGGAUUCUGCUUUGGUUGCUCUCAGCAUUGAUACUGGAAAGUCCCUUGUUUACUCAGGAGUCCAGUGGGAACAGGGUUUUUUUUGCAGGGCGGGGUAGAACAGAUUUGGGCAUAGUAACCUAUAUAGUCUUUGGCUUCCCACGCUUCCUCUUACCAAAGAUUUACCCUGCUUUUGAAAGAACUAUUCUGCUCUCCUGAUAUGAUUUUAUCAGUCUUGCAAAUGAGAACAGCGGGAGCGCGUUCACCCACCCCAUGUUCCAGUGAUGCAGCUUCUUUGAAGACAAGUCUGUUCCAGAAGGUCAGGGCUUUGCCAGUCCUCUUAAAUGAAUGAACUGUGCAUAUUGUGUAGAAUGCUUUUUUCAAAGUGCACAUAUCAGCUGCAGACAUUGCUCCUAAUCAGAAGCCUGUUAGGUAGUCAGUUCAUCUGAGCAGCCGGAGUGAGGGGGAGAAGAAUCCAGCAAGUGUGAAGCUCUAUUUUGUGAUAAAAUAAGAGAGGACUUUUCAUCCUGUUUCGUCCAGUGCCCUGUAGGACGUUGGUUUCUCCUCACCCUGGUUCUCUUUCUCCUCAUCUCCUUUGCACCACAAAAUGUCAUCUGUGCGAACGAGGGGGACUGAGACCUAGCUCCCUGCUAGGUGUGGCAGCUGCACAGAGAAAUAACACAGCAGUUUUCUUCCUUUUUUAAAAAAAAGUUGUGGUGCCAGCACUUCUCGGGCAGUUUUGACUUCAAUUGGAAAAGGCUCUGUUUCUCCUCUAGUGUGGUUGACACCCUCCCCUGUCAUUAUUUUAUUUUAUUUUUAAAAAAAUAUCAGGCAGCUGAGCCACUUUGAACUUCCCUUUUGGAGGAAACAUGAAACAAGCUGCUUAAAAUGUGGCACAGAGGCCAAGCUAGCUGGUACUCUAGCAACGUGGAACAGCAUGGGGUGUCUGUGGCAGCAGAAGGGGAGACUCUCUGAAAAGAAGAGAGGGCAUACAUUUGCUUGACAGAUUGAGAAUGAAGUAGUUUUGAAAUGCUCAAAAUGCAAUUAUUGCAUGCCUGCCAGCAUCUGGGAGGGGAGGCUAACACUGGGAGGGGUGGCUAACACAUCAAAACGACCUUGACAGAUUAGAGAAUUGGGCAAAAACAAACAAGAUGAAUUUUAACAGGGAGAAAUGUAAAGUAUUGCACUUGGGCAAAAAAAAAAUGAGAGGCACAAAUGCAAGUUGGGUGACACCUGGCUUGAGAGCAGUACAUGUGAAAAGGAUCUAGGAGUCUUGGUUGACCACAAACUUGACAUGAGCCAACAGUGUGACGCGGCAGCUAAAAAAGCCAAUGCAAUUCUGGGCUGCAUCAAUAGGAGUAUAGCAUCUAGAUCAAGGGAAGUAAUAGUGCCACUGUAUUCUGUUCUGGUCAGACCUCACCUGGAGUACUGUGUCCAGUUCUGGGCACCACAGUUCAAGAAGGACACUGACAAACUGGAACGUGUCCAGAGGAGGGCAACCAAAAUGGUCAAAGGCCUGGAAACGAUGCCUUAUGAGGAACGGCUAAGGGAGCUGGGCAUGUUUAGCCUGGAGAAGAGGAGGUUAAGGGGUGAUAUGACAGCCAUGUUCUCCUUCUUUGGAGGUCUUUAAGCAGAGGCUUGACAACCAUAUGUCAGGAGUGCUCUGAUGGUGUUUCCUGCUUGGCAGGGGGUUGGACUCGAUGGCCCUUGUGGUCUCUUCCAACUCUAUGAUUCUAUGAUUCUAUGAUUCUAUGAAAUAUAUAAAAGGAUGUCACAUAGAGGAGGGAGAAAGGUUGUUUUCUGCUGCUCCAGAGAAGCGGACACGGAGCAAUGGAUCCAAACUACAAGAAAGAAGAUUCCACCUAAACAUUAGGAAGAACUUCCUGACAGUAAGAGCUGUUCGACAGUGGAAUUUGCUGCCAAGGAGUGUGGUGGAGUCUCCUUCUUUGCAGGUCUUUAAGCAGAGGCUUGACAACCAUAUGUCAGGAGUGCUCUGAUGGUGUUUCCUGCUUGGCAGGGGGUUGGACUCGAUGGCCCUUGUGGUCUCUUCCAACUCUAUGAUUCUAUGAUUCUAUGAUCUAAGAAGUUGGACAGUUAGAACCUUUUCCUUCCGCCCUCUGGGUCUAGCCCAAAGGCCUUGCCCGUACUGCCUCCAAGACACUGCUGCCAUAUUCAUAUCCCUCUUGCUUCUUCAGUACUGACAGCCUUCACUUUUGGAUUUAGCAGGAAUCCAAGGAAUGGAUGCUGCUGUGAUGGCUGCCCAUACGAGGUGAUGCAGAGAGAGAGAGAGAGAGAGAGAGAGAGAGAGAGAGAGAGGCUGAAAAGUGAUGACUGAACAUCUUGAACAUCUGCAAUGACUCUCCAGUUUUUCUAAUGGUUCCCUUUGUUUAGAUCUAUUAACUGGAAAUGGCAGAGUUCGAACGUGGGACCUUCUAAAUGCAAGGCAUUGCUUCUGCAACUGUUCAUUGAACAUCCAGCAGUUUCUUGAUUCAAAAAUGGGAGACCUGGUAAUGAUGUGCAACAGAACUCUUUUCAAAUCCUUAAUAAAGAUUGCAGUUAGGAUCUUAUAGUUGCAAGUGAAGGAGCGUCUCCACCCCCAUCGUUCAGCCUGAGGUCCAGGUCUGAGGGCCUUCUGGCGGUUCCCUCAUUGUGAGAUGUGAGGGUACAGGGAACCAGACAGAGGGCCUUCUCGGUAGUGGCGCCGGCCCUAUGGAACGCCCUCCCAUCAGAUGUCAAGGAAAUAACUACCUGACUUUUAGAAGACAUCUGAAGGCAGCCCUGCUUAGAGAAUUUUUUAAUGUCUGAUGUUUUAUUGUAUUUUUAAUAUUUUGUUGGAAGCCGCCCAGAGUGGCUGGGUAAACCCAGCCAGAUGUGCGGGGUAUGUAUGUAUGUAUGUAUGUAUAAAUAAAUAAAUAGUUGUUGCUGUUGACUAUGAAGUAUCUACAUAAGCCCUACUCCUGAGAAUCCUUAAGAUGUCCCAUCUCUUCUUCUAAAAUUGCAAGGGACACAUCACAAAUCCCCUCAAAUCUGCUUAUGUUUGUGAUUCCCAUUCACCUUUUGGGGGAGUGAUACUGGCUAGGCUGUCAUUGAGGUGCUCAAAAGCAUUCUAACUUCUUCACAGGGUAAAGGCAUCACCAUCAGAAUAUUGACAGUGCAGCAUCUUUGAGUGAGUUCUGGAAGAGUGAAAAAACCCUCCAAGGGCUCAAAGACUUGAGAAUGAGCUGCAUACGCUACAUCCUAACUCAAUAAAUUUGGUGACAUUUUCGUUUGUGGGUUGCUUCAUACUUGGAAUGGAGGGGGUUGAGCGGAAAGAAAGUUGACAGAAGAAAACACUUUGUCUUUUCUUCAAAUAGCUGUGCACAAGUUCAUAUGGCUGGUGGCAUGUUUCUGUUGAGCCCCACUUUGACUCACUUUAUUCUGAUCUUGAGACUUACCUUUCAGUCAUUAUAUAGUCAACAUUUUGAAACUGAAAUGGACUUCCUCCAAUGUUAUUUUUCUCGUCUGCAGCCUGUGAAGCUGGUGCCCAGAGCUAUGUUUGCUUCUUUAGUCUAUUGCAGCUCUGUCAGGGAGGGUUGAGACUUCAGGCUGGGAAAGGUAAGAGAGUUCAAAGAAUUGCCUUUCCUGGUUUUCUUAAAAGAUAGCAGCUUGUGUUUCUGAUUAGAUGUGGGCAGCAUGAGAACAUACCCUAUGACUGCAAAUCUGUCUGUGCAUGGACUGCUAAAAACGAAAUAUACAAAUCUGAAUGUGUGAAGGUCAAAAGUGGGAGUGGGGAUGUUGGGGAAGGGGUGCAUGACCACUCCCCCCUCCCAAGAGUUCUUUUAAUGUGGGUGGUUCUUACAUCUGAAUAUGGCUAAAGAUGUCCACUUCGGAAAGGGAUUCAAGCACAGAUUGACUUUCAGGAAUUUGUUAUUGGGUUGCUACACAUGUCUAAUCUGAUUUGACAUGUUGUCCAUCCAAUUUAAGGAGCUCCACACACCAUGGAUCUGCAAGCAACUCACAGAUCUUUGUUUCACACAUACAAUAUAACAUUGAAAGGGGGAAUUUGCACACCUCCAAUGUGUUGAGCUGUACCUACCACUUGUGUUCACAUAUCUCAUCACGAAUGAGAUGUUUGUUUCUCUCGCUUUGGCUGUUGUAUGAGAAGCAGCAGAAGAAAAUAUAUAAGUCACACGUGUGCUGAGGAACAAAGUAUUACAAAGUAACUGCAACAAAUGCUCUGAAACACACUUGGGUUUUUGUCAUUUGAUCUUGAAAAUCAUCUUUCCACAAAGCAGGUCUUGAACAGUUUUGUGAAGAUUGGUCCCCCUUUUAAUGAAUUAUCUUUGUUGCCCUGCCCACUGAAUGUGGAACUUUCUAAACUCUACAUGCACUCUUUGCCACUGAGCAAGGAGGCUACCGUAAGUGAAAUUUGCUGAAACCUCUGGCCUUUUCUUCUUUUCUUUAAAAACAUAAACGAUAAGAAUGUACUCAUGGGGUAGAAAAGUUGGUUGCGAAAAUGUACUACAUUGGACAGAACACACUUAAACUAACAUACUCCCUUAGUGUUGUUUCAGAGGCUGCUGGGCUGUGCCAUGUUUCCCACACAGUGCCACCAGUAGGGGGAGGCCACUUGCUUCUCUGCAAUGCCAGGCUACUGAUCUGCUGCCCACACGCUUACCCUGCUGCCUUAGGUCAGCACCCAGCACUAGGUUCAAUGUCGUGUAGAUAUUCUUCUUAAGUUCUUGCUAAGUCCCUCACCCAGAAAACAUGAGAUUCCAAACAUACAUUUAUUAUUAUUCAUUAAAUUGCUAUACUGGCCUUCAUCCGAGGAUCACAGGGCAGUUUACAAUAUAAAAGCACAAAGAUACAUAUCAUAGUAAGAAACAAAAACAAUCCCCCCCCCCAAGACCAUGGAUUGUUUCAUUAGCCAAAGGCCUGGGAGGAGAGGAAUGCUUUUACCUGGUGCCUAAAGUUGUGCAACGAAGGUGCCAAGUGAGCCUCUCUGGGGAGAGCAUUUGACAAGUCGGAUCAUCGUUAGAAUGGUCCUGGUUGCGGGCAGGCCCCCAGCCCAGUUCCUCCCCCCACCCUGGCAUGGGCGGAGUAACACUUUCAUGCCAGGGUGGCAUCACAAUCACCCCAGACCUGUUGGCCAAUCAGUUUUGAGUGGGGAGAUUGUGAGGAGUUUAAAAGCGGCAGCGCAACGUGGCUAUGCACCUGCUUCGCGCUGCCUUAUGGACUACCUGUAAAGUGGGCAGGAGUCUGAUAUAGUCUACGCCAAUGCCUAAGCCAAUACCGCUCACAUUUCUGUAAUUCAAUAAAGUUGUGGCCUAAAAUUUUGCCAGUUACCUUAAACUAAAUAUUCUGUGUCCAUGUGGAUUUAUUUUAACAAGGGGCUGGUCUGGGGCCUUGACACGCAAGUAGGGAUUCACCACAGAAAAGGCCCGUUCUCGUGUUGCUGCCCUCCGGACCUCUCAUGGAGGAGGCACAUGAAGCCCUCAGGUGAUGAUUCCAGGAUCUAGGCCAGUUCAUAUGUGGAGAGGCUUUAUCACGUCUUAAAGUUCGCAUUCAGACUAUGAUUUCAAUAACACCCACCGUGAGGUUUUUUUCAAAAGGAGACUGUAGUAUGAGUGGAGAAGGAGCACUGGAACGAUGCUCACAGUGAAAUUGGAAGAAAAUAUAUGCAAAGGGACUUGACAGGAAGUCAAAGUUGAAGAAAAGAUUUUGGAAGACAAAAGGGGAAAAAUAUUUACUUUCAUUAUUAUCAUUUUGUGUGCAGGUGUGGGGGUGUGGGUGUUUGCACAUAUGUGUGCUUUUGUAUGGAAUGUUUGGGAGGAAAUAAGACGGUAAAUAAUAAAUAACAAACUAAAUAUUAAUGUAUGUAAUUUUAAUUUCUUAAUUAUAUUUAGUGGUAGUAUGGCUGCAUUGUUUUUUGUAACAUAAAAUCAUUCAAUAAAAAUUAUUUUUUUUAAAAAAAGGAGGGAAAAAAGAAAUUGGAAGAAAGAAAACCCUUUCCUGCUCCCCACACUGUCAAAUGACUCUGAAAGAUGGAACAAUUUUCUAAAGGCUUAUCAAAAUAACUGAACUUUGACCCAGUGACCCAGAAGGAGACAUUUCAGUCCAAGCUAUAAUGCUUGGAAAGGAUUUUAUGAGUGGCUGAAAAUUGGGGUUUAGAUUGGAAGCACCGUCUCAGUCACCCGGAACCACUGUCUCUGACUGUAAUCUAUUGUAAGUUUCAGGUGCAUAUCUUCAGUCUGUUCAAAGAUAUGCUUGUGGAUAUGCUUGUACUGCAUCAAACACAACAGGAAUUGGUGCUGUUUUAUACAUUGAUCAGGGGCCUUGAGGGUGGCAGUUGCUGAUACUAGUAUUUGCAGUGAGCACAG